AGAGUUUGAUCCUGGCUCAGGACGAACGCUGGCGGCGUGCCUAAUACAUGCAAGUCGAACGCUUCUUUUCCCACCGGAGCUUGCUCCACCGGGAAAAGAGGAGUGGCGAACGGGUGAGUAACACGUGGGUAACCUGCCCAUCAGAAGGGGAUAACACUUGGAAACAGGUGCUAAUACCGUAUAACAAUCGAAACCGCAUGGUUUCGUUUUGAAAGGCGCUUUACGGUGCCGCUGAUGGAUGGACCCGCGGUGCAUUAGCUAGUUGGUGAGGUAACGGCUCACCAAGGCCACGAUGCAUAGCCGACCUGAGAGGGUGAUCGGCCACAUUGGGACUGAGACACGGCCCAAACUCCUACGGGAGGCAGCAGUAGGGAAUCUUCGGCAAUGGACGAAAGUCUGACCGAGCAACGCCGCGUGAGUGAAGAAGGUUUUCGGAUCGUAAAACUCUGUUGUUAGAGAAGAACAAGGGUGAGAGUAACUGUUCACCCCUUGACGGUAUCUAACCAGAAAGCCACGGCUAACUACGUGCCAGCAGCCGCGGUAAUACGUAGGUGGCAAGCGUUGUCCGGAUUUAUUGGGCGUAAAGCGAGCGCAGGCGGUUUCUUAAGUCUGAUGUGAAAGCCCCGGCUCAACCGGGGAGGGUCAUUGGAAACUGGGAGACUUGAGUGCAGAAGAGGAGAGUGGAAUUCCAUGUGUAGCGGUGAAAUGCGUAGAUAUAUGGAGGAACACCAGUGGCGAAGGCGGCUCUCUGGUCUGUAACUGACGCUGAGGCUCGAAAGCGUGGGGAGCAAACAGGAUUAGAUACCCUGGUAGUCCACGCCGUAAACGAUGAGUGCUAAGUGUUGGAGGGUUUCCGCCCUUCAGUGCUGCAGCUAACGCAUUAAGCACUCCGCCUGGGGAGUACGACCGCAAGGUUGAAACUCAAAGGAAUUGACGGGGGCCCGCACAAGCGGUGGAGCAUGUGGUUUAAUUCGAAGCAACGCGAAGAACCUUACCAGGUCUUGACAUCCUUUGACCACUCUAGAGAUAGAGCUUCCCCUUCGGGGGCAAAGUGACAGGUGGUGCAUGGUUGUCGUCAGCUCGUGUCGUGAGAUGUUGGGUUAAGUCCCGCAACGAGCGCAACCCUUAUUGUUAGUUGCCAUCAUUUAGUUGGGCACUCUAGCAAGACUGCCAGUGACAAACCGGAGGAAGGUGGGGAUGACGUCAAAUCAUCAUGCCCCUUAUGACCUGGGCUACACACGUGCUACAAUGGGAAGUACAACGAGUCGCGAAGUCGCGAGGCUAAGCUAAUCUCUUAAAGCUUCUCUCAGUUCGGAUUGUAGGCUGCAACUCGCCUACAUGAAGCCGGAAUCGCUAGUAAUCGCGGAUCAGCACGCCGCGGUGAAUACGUUCCCGGGCCUUGUACACACCGCCCGUCACACCACGAGAGUUUGUAACACCCGAAGUCGGUGAGGUAACCUUUUUGGAGCCAGCCGCCUAAGGUGGGAUAGAUGAUUGGGGUGAAGUCGUAACAAGGUAACCGUA
rnacentral:rRNA from 1 species